UACGGGGGGGGCAAGCGUUGUUCGGAAUUACUGGGCGUAAAGGGCUCGUAGGCGGCCAACUAAGUCAGACGUGAAAUCCCUCGGCUUAACCGGGGAACUGCGCUCUAAACUACCGUGCUUGAGGGAGGUAGAGGUGAGCGGAACUUAGGGUGGAGCGGUGAAAUGCGUUGAUAUCCUAAGGAACACCGGUGGCGAAAGCGGCUCACUGGAUCUCUUCUGACGCUGAGGCACGAAAGCUAGGGUAGCGAACGGG
rnacentral:rRNA from 1 species